AGCAUGUGGAUUAAUUCGAUGCAACGCGAAGAACUUACCUGGGCUUGACAUACACCGGAUCGGGCUAGAGAUAGUCUUUCCCUUGUGGCUGGUGUACAGGUGGUGCAUGGUUGUCGUCAGCUCGUGUCGUGAGAUGUUGGGUUAAGUCCCGCAACGAGCGCAACCCUUGUCUUAUGUUGCCAGCACGUGAUGGUGGGGACUCAUGAGAGACUGCCGGGGUUAACUCGGAGGAAGGUGGGGAUGACGUCAAAUCAUCAUGCCCCUUAUGUCCAGGGCUUCACACAUGCUACAAUGGUCGGUACAACGCGUGUGCGACACUGUGAGGUGAAGCUAAUCGCUCUAAAGCCGGUCGUAGUUCGGAUUGGGGUCUGCAACUCGACCCCAUGAAGUCGGAGUCGCUAGUAAUCGCAGAUCAGCAACGCUGCGGUGAAUACGUUCCCGGGCCUU
rnacentral:rRNA from 1 species